rnacentral:rRNA from 1 species
GAUGAACGCUCGCGAUAGGCUUAACACAUGCAAGUCGAGGGGCAGCAUGGUCUUAGCUUGCUAAGGCUGAUGGCGACCGGCGCACGGGUGCGUAACGCGUAUGCAACUUGCCUCACAGAGGGGGAUAACCCGUCGAAAGACGGACUAAUACCGCGUACACUCUAUGUUGGGCAUCCAAUGUAGAGGAAAUGAAAUUCGCUGUGAGAUAGGCAUGCGUCCCAUUAGCUAGUUGGUGAGGUAACGGCUCACCAAGGCGACGAUGGGUAGGGGAACUGAGAGGUUGAACCCCCACACUGGUACUGAGACACGGACCAGACUCCUACGGGAGGCAGCAGUGAGGAAUAUUGGUCAAUGGGCGAGAGCCUGAACCAGCCAAGUCGCGUGAAGGAUGACUGUCUUAUGGAUUGUAAACUUCUUUUAUACGGGAAUAACAAGAGUCACGUGCGGCUCCCUGCAUGUACCGUAUGAAUAAGCAUCGGCUAACUCCGUG